GGGGGCGCACUGGCUUCGACGUGAUUACUGAAGCGAUCGUCGCGUGCCGUGGGUACCAGUGACCACGUCUAACGACUGGUAACGUCACAACUGCCGACGAUAACGUGCAGAUGGCGAUGGCGGCGUAAGCUGACCAUUGCUCUAUGAUGUGCCUUUCAAAGGCACCCGUCUCCUUCAUCCUUGCUCACGGGAUGUUGUGAGACGACACCUAGUGAGCUCGGUCUCGGCCACUUCGAGUCUUCGGGUUGAGACGACACAUCAAUGAAGGCCCCUCGCCACCUGUGGCCUGUCAGCGGGCAGCAGGGCGCGAGGUAAAUCUCAAACGCUGACUACGCACGUAGGGACGAUCAGCGGAUGGAUCGCGGACGCGGGUUCGAUUCCCGCCGCCUCCACU
rnacentral:tmRNA from 1 species